UUAUCUGGAGAAGCUGUGGACAGGCUGGCAAACUGACAGGCCUUUAACAUGAUGCUGAUACCAUAUUAAAAACAUUCACUAAUUGAUCCUAAUUGUCACACUAGGAAAGGAGAGAGUGAGGAAAAUGUGUUGAGUGUAAAGUUGUCAGUCGGGGAAUAACACAGGGCUGUGAAUGAGCCCCGUCACUGUGAUCAGGCUCCUCCUUCUAAUCCACCAACUUAGUGUUGAUGAAGACUAAACAGAGAGAUCACAGCCUUCUUUAUACUUGCUGGAGCUCACAGUUCCUCAACACUGCAGAUAUGACGCCUCUGUUCAUCUCAGUGUUGCUGGCUGCUGUGUGCCUUGAAUGCAGAGCACAAAAAGACAACGUGCUGCAACCAGAAGGAGACGUGACUGCUGCUGAAGGAGAGCCAGUAACACUUGGCUGUCUAUAUAACAGCAGUUCAUCAAAUUAUUAUCUCUUCUGGUACAAACAGGAUGGAAACAACAGCCCUGAAUUCAUACUGAGCCGCUUUAAGAUCGGUGAGGGGAAAACAGAGGACGAGUACAAGGAGAGAUUUUCAUCCACACUGGAUUCCACCUCAAGAUCAGUUCCUCUGAAGAUCCAGAAGCUUCAGCUGACUGACUCUGCUGUGUACUACUGUGCUCUGCAUGCACAUUUGGUCGGUGAAAUCGAGAUGUCAGCCGAAUGGGCUGACCGGCACAGCGGCCGAAGGUUGUUGGCAGUCUGCAUCAACUCAGAGGGUGAUGCCAGCCAUGCCUUAAUCCGGACUGGCCAGCCACUGCGCGUCUGUAACGGAGUAGACCUGUACCGGCCAAUUUUGAGUGCAGUGGUAGUGUGA